rnacentral:rRNA from 1 species
AUGGCGCAUGUAGCCGGUUUGCUCGCCUCGGCUGUGGUCUCAGCGGUGUGCAAUAAGCUGGGUUCCGCCAUUGGGGACGAGGUCGCAAUGUUGUGGAGCUUCAAGGACGACAUCAAGGACAUGAAGGACACAUUGGAGUACAUGGAGGCGGCGCUCAAGGAUGCUGAGAGGCGGUCUGUCACAGAGGAGUUGGUGCGGUUGUGGCUCAAGCGGCUCAAGAACGCUGCCUACGACAUCUCUUACAUGCUCGAUGAGUUCCAAGCUGACAGUGAACCAGCCUCCAGAAAGAUGAUUGGGAAGCUGGACUGUUUUGCUAUUGCACCCAAGAUUACCAUGGCUUAUAAGAUGAAGAAGGUGAGGGGUCAGCUGAGGAAGAUCAGAGAGGAUCACGAGAUUUUCAAAUUCACACAUGAUCACUCCAACCUAAUUAAUGUGCAGCAGUUUCCUGACCCACGGGAAACAACGUCAAAUGUGGUUGAAUCACUCAUCAUAGGGAGAGACAGAGACAGGAUGAAUGUCCUUUCCUUGUUAUCAAGCAACAACAACAAAGAAGAUAGCACAGUUCUUCCUAUCUGUGGGCUUGGAGGCAUAGGAAAGACAACUUUAGCACAACUGGCCUUCAAUGAUGCUCAGUUCAAAGAUUAUAAUCAUCGGAUAUGGGUCUAUGUAUCCCAGGUGUUUGACUUGAAAAAAAUUGGGAACUCUAUAAUUUCUCAAGUACUGGGGAAAGGAAGCCAGAAUCUAGAUACAAGACAGUUGAUAGACCAACGCCUUAAAGAUCUACUUCGAAAUAAAAAAAACUUUAAUUGUUUUAGAUGA